GUGCUCGCUUUGCCAACACAUAUACUAAAAUUGAAAUGAUACAGAGAAGACUAACUUGGCCCCUGUGUAAGGAUGACAUGCAAAUUCAUGAGCGUUCCAUAUUUUU
ensembl:snRNA U6 U6 spliceosomal RNA